rnacentral:rRNA from 1 species
UGGGGAAUAUUGCACAAUGGGCGAAAGCCUGAUGCAGCGACGUCGCGUGAGGGAAGAAGUCUUUCGGGAUGUAAACCUCUGUCCUAUGAGAAGAAGAAUGACGGUAUCAUAGGAGGAAGCCAUGGCUAACUACGUGCCAGCAGCCGCGGUAAUACGUAGAUGGCGAGCGUUAUCCGGAAUGACUGGGCGUAAAGGGUGCGUAGGCGGUUAAUUAAGUCAGAUGUGAAAUACCCGUGCUCAACAUGGGAGUGGCAUUUGAAACUAGUAACUUGAGUGCAGGAGAGGAAAGUGGAAUUCCUAGUGUAGCGGUGAAAUGCGUAGAUAUUAGGAGGAACACCAGUGGCGAAGGCGACUUCUGGACUGUAACUGACGCUGAGGCACGAAAGUGUGGGGAGCGAACAGGAUUAGAUACCCUGGUAGUCCACACUGUAAACGAUGAAUGCUAGGUGUAGGGAGUCAAAUCUCUGUGCCGG